GAUUCUUUUGUUUCGAAAACAUUUGAUUUUGAAAAUCAAUAAAAGACGUUUAACUCGUUUAAGAAUCU
rnacentral:tRNA from 1 species